rnacentral:rRNA from 1 species
UGAACGCUGGCGGCGUGCUUAACACAUGCAAGUCGAACGAGAACGGCUCUAGCUUGCUAGAGUGUCAGCUAAGUGGCGCACGGGUGAGUAAUAUAUAGGUAAUCUGCCCCGAAGAGCGGGAUAACGUCUGGAAACGGACGCUAAUACUGCAUACUCCUUCUUGACAUAAGUUGAGAAGGGAAAUGAACUUCGCUUCGGGAUGAGCCUUUAUCGCAUCAGCUAGUUGGUAAGGUAACGGCUUACCAAGGCUAUGACGCGUAGCUGAUCUGAGAGGAUGAUCAGCCACACUGGUACUGAGACACGGACCAGACUCCUACGGGAGGCAGCAGUGGGGAAUAUUGCACAAUGGACGAAAGUCUGAUGCAGCAACGCCGCGUGGAGGAUGACACAUUUCGGUGCGUAAACUCCUUUUAUAGGUCAAGAUAAUGACGGUAGCCUAUGAAUAAGCACCGGCUAACUCC